GAUGAACGCUGGCGGCGUGCCUAACACAUGCAAGUCGAACGGAGUCGUUUUGGAAAUCUCUUCGGAGAUGGAAUUCUCGACUUAGUGGCGGACGGGUGAGUAACGCGUGAGCAAUCUGCCUUUAAGAGGGGGAUAACAGUCGGAAACGGCUGCUAAUACCGCAUAAAGCAUUAAAUUCGCAUGAUUUUGAUGCCAAAGGAGCAAUCCGCUUUUAGAUGAGCUCGCGUCUGAUUAGCUAGUUGGCGGGGUAACGGCCCACCAAGGCGACGAUCAGUAGCCGGACUGAGAGGUUGAACGGCCACAUUGGGACUGAGACACGGCCCAGACUCCUACGGGAGGCAGCAGUGGGGAAUAUUGCGCAAUGGGGGAAACCCUGACGCAGCAACGCCGCGUGAUUGAAGAAGGCCUUCGGGUUGUAAAGAUCUUUAAUCAGGGACGAAAUAAAUGACGGUAC
rnacentral:rRNA from 1 species